AGCGAACGCUGGCGGCAGGCCUAACACAUGCAAGUCGAACGAACUCUUCGGAGUUAGUGGCUGUCGCGGGUGUCACACGGCGGAACGUGCCGUUUGACUCGGGAUAACACAUGUUAGCUUGUGCUAAUACCGAAUGUGUCACUCUGGGAAAAGAUUCAACGCCCUUAGAGCGGCCCGCGUCUUUUUAGCUAGUUGGUGAGGUAACGGCCGACCAAGGCUACGCUCAGUAGCUGGUUUGAGAGGCAGACUAGCGACACUGAGACUGAGCCACGGCCCAGACUCCUACGGGAGGCAGCAGUGGGGAAUCCAGCGCAAUGGGGUAAAGCAUGACGCAGCCAUGCUGGGUGAAUGAUGAAGUUCGUAGGAUUGUAAAAUUCUUUCACCGGCGACGAUAAUGACGGUACCCGGAGAAGAAGCCCCGGCUAACUUCGUG
rnacentral:rRNA from 1 species